rnacentral:rRNA from 1 species
GACAGAGGGUGCAAACGUUGUUCGGAAUUACUGGGCGGAAAGCGCGUGUAGGCGGCCCUGCAAGUCGGAUGUGAAAUCCCACGGCUCAACCGUGGAAGUGCAUUCGAAACUGCAGGGCUAGAGUCCUGGAGAGGAAGGUGGAAUGCUUGGUGUAGAGGUGAAAUUCGUAGAUAUCAAGCGGAACACCGGUGGCGAAGGCGGCCUUCUGGACAGUGACUGACGCUGCGACGCGAAAGCGUGGGGAGCAAACAGG